rnacentral:miRNA from 1 species
UUCCUCAUUUUCUGCUUCAAGUGGU